GGCUUUUAGUGCAGGUAGAAGAGUUUUGGAUGAGAAAAGAUCAAGUCUCGCGCCAGAUGCGGUAAAGAUUUGCGUUUGUAAAAAAGAUUGGGACCAAGCUGCUAAAAGACAACAAGGAUUUCAAGAAGAUGACUCGGACGGUGAAGAAGAUCCUUGGAUGUUGAUGGAUACUUCGUCGUCCGAAGGCGGCAAUUCGGCAAAUGAACAAGAAUAAAUAAAAAAUUUCUUUCUUUAUGUAUUUUUUUAAUUUAGUUUGUACAAGCGGUUUGUUCCGUUAAAUUUUUUAGAGAGGAGUCCUCUCACAUUAUUUGUAAUUUUUUUUUCUAAUUUAUAAAAUUUACAAGAGGUACCGCCCUCUUUUUACAAUU
rnacentral:lncRNA from 1 species